UUCCCGCCUGGCAGGCCCCUCUUUGGAGUGCUCUGUGGAGUAGCAGAACUUUGGAGAAUGAUACGUAUUACAAGAGCUUUAUUUGGAGGACGCACUGGAGAGACCCCGAGACCGAGAAUGCCACCCAAAAGGUUGGGCAAGUCGGGAGACCUCACUG